UGACUUUCUUUUUCUAACGACACUCUCCUUCCUUUGUGUAACCCUAAAGAUGCCGACACUCUCCUUUCUUUGUCUAACCCUAAAGAAGACGACACUCAUCUACCACUCUUUCUCUUACAAACGCAUAUACUCUUUCUCAUAAUUGAUAACCUCCUACAAACUGAAGAAGAGAUAUGUCGUCCUUAGAUGAUCCGUUUAACAUCCAAACGCAGCAUCCACGCGUACAACCUUCAACAAUAGAAACCAUUAGCGACCACCACGACCACCGAAUCCUUCUGAUCUACAACCCCUAUCCCUCAUCUAGAUCUACACGACGAUUGGAGAAACUCAACAGGGUUAUCUUGAGGAUGUGUCGGUUCUUAUUGGUUGUUGCUUCUCUUGUUGCUGAAACGCGUCUGCUUCUUAAUUUACAGAAAUUUGAAGGAGAGAUCAGCAGGAAGUUCUUGUUUAUUCAUAAUUGCAUCUGUAUUCGAAAGUGGUUAGGGUUCAGUUGGUUUAAUUUCAUAGAUCGACGAACCCUAGAAAUACUAACAUUCACGCCUCCGAUGCAAUAAAUUCUUAAUAAAACAUUGUACAGUUUAAGGAUUUAAUGUACGAAGCAUUAACAAUUGAAGAAAGUUGGGACAGAGAUGAAGAUAUGAAAUAAUUUAUCCACUGAUUACUCAAUCCUCAGUGCCUUCACUCUCGUUGUUUCUCCAUCUUCAGUUCUAUUACCGGUGAUUAACAUAAAAAGGAAAAUCUUAAGAGAAACCAUCAGAAAAUGUUUUUUUUUUUUAACUCAAAAUCGGUUCUUCCUCACACAUAGGUCUUAUUUACUGUUGAUGGCUCCUUAAACGGUUCUGAGAUAAGUUAUAUAUGUGUAAUUAUUUUUAUUGAACAUGAUUUUGGUAUAUAUGUUGACAUAUUGACAUUUUUUUUUAACAAUUUUUGGUGUUUGUAUGAUGUAUCAAGACUGCAUGGGUUGCCGACAGAUCUUGAUUGUCCGAUAUUUCAUUUCUUAGAUGAAAAAAGCUACAUGGAGAGGCUCAUUCUUCAUCCGGCCAAGCCACAACAGCUCCUGUUGGAAUAUGUACAUCAUUUCCAACCGGAUUUUGCUGGAUCACACCUACAUCAUCUUCAGCCUGACGUGGCGCAUCAGAUUCUUGUAUUGGUUGGUUCAUAUCUACAGGUGACUCCAACCAAUUUCUGCAAAAGGAAUAUAAGCUGGAUUGCUAGUUUCUUCAGGAUCUGUAAACACAAAACACACACACACACAAACAACAUUAUAUUAGAUACAGUUAAAGUUUUGUAUAAUAUUAUGUUAUAUUUGAUUUACCUGAUUGGACCUGAAAUUUAUUAUUUUAUGCAAGAAUAUAAGCUGGAUUGCUAGUUUCUUCAGGAUCUGUAACACACAAAACACACACACACACACAAGAUUAUAUUAGGAAUAUAAAGCUGGAUUGCUAUUUUCUUCAAGAUCUAUAAACACAAAACACACACACACAACAUUAUAUUAGAUAUAGUUUCUUUAUUUACAUUAUAUUAGAUAAAGUUUUUUAAAAUAUAAGUUGGAUUGCUAGCUGAUAAAGUAUUUUGUGUUUUUUU